rnacentral:rRNA from 1 species
UACGGGGGGAGCAAGCGUUGUUCGGAUUUACUGGGCGUAAAGGGCGCGUAGGCGGCCACCGCAAGUCGAUUGUGAAAUCUCCGGGCUUAACCCGGAAAGGUCAACCGAUACUGCGGGGCUAGAGUGCGGAAGGGGCAACUGGAAUUCUUGGUGUAGCGGUGAAAUGCGUAGAUAUCAAGAGGAACACCUGCGGCGAAGGCGGGUUGCUGGGCCGACACUGACGCUGAUGCGCGAAAGCCAGGGGAGCGAACGGG